ensembl:lncRNA
CUUGAAAUGUUUUUAAUAGAAUUGGUCUAGCAAUCAUUCAGGAUUUUGGUGAUGGGCCCUCCCUGUCUGGACACUGCCAACCCACAGCUGAGGGGCAUUUAAGGCACGUCAUUUUGUGAUUAGAAUUACACAAAGUUUGAUUAAUAUUACAGCUGCAAAAUUAACAUACACAGUUUUCACUCAUUUAAAAUAUUUUGUUUUGAUGAAAUUCUUUGCUUUCACAAUAAUCAAUAGUACACAGUAUAUUGACUCUGUAACAAAAUUAUUUUUGAGAAAAUACAGAAGUGAGAAAUAGUGAUUUCCUCAAUUUGUUUAUAGUCUAUUACAAAGUAGGCCAAAGUUCAGUAUUAAAUAAAUAGAUAUCCUAAUAAAAGUUUUUACAAGUUUUCCUAAGGAAAUACAUUCAUAAGACUGUUUACCUUCUGUUUGACAGCAGUGACAGGAACGUGGGGUUUCCCAAUCAUGACGAGUCCCUAGCACUCGGCUCCUGGCACCCACGGCCCAGGCGCGCUGCAUCACCUGGUGGGGUGCAGCCUGGCUUUUGCGAGUGAGGUUUUCUCAUUGGAACUCUGGUUCCAUGUUUGUGCUUAGCCUGUGUGCGGUUCUCGUAAACACAGAACGCCUGCCUGCCCACCCCGGGUGUGAAGACUGACGGGUCAAGGAGGUGUUGGUGAGACUGUUUUGUUCACCAUGUGGAGAUCAGGUGGUGAUUACCGCAUCUUCUUUGCUGACUUUGGUAACUGGGUGUCCAGUGGGGAGCGACCGGGAGUGGCCAGGCUGUUGCCUGGACUCAGCUUCUGACUCUGCAGCCAGGAGUCAGAUGCAGGCCCAAGGGUCCAGGGGAGUUGUUCAGCACCUGGAAUCAUGCACUGCGCUGUGGCCACGCGACGCUUCUGGCUUGUUCUCCCAGGCACAGACAGGCACUUGGAAGGCAACUUUGCUCCUCUGGUCACCCGGAGACCUCCUAGCAGUGCAGAUGGGACAAACUGGAGGCCUGUGGGAACACCCACUCAUGCCCGGAAGGCCAGGCCCCAGCCUGCUCCAGUGAACGUCAGGAUAGUGGCUGCAGCAGGGAACCAGGGCUGGCCUUGGAUCUGUCCAGCAGUCACUGACCGGGCAGGCUUUGCUGCAUAGAGGAUGGCUGCAUUUUGUGCUCAGAGUUGGUUGAAAUGGCUGCAAAGUGUGGACAGUGACCACUGAAUCCCAAAAGUCACUGCACUUGAUCUGACCCGAAUACCAGUGACUGCAGUUAGGGUAGAGAGCUUCUCCGAAGCAGGGGUCAUGGAGGCUUUUGUGUGGCUGAGGCUUCCCUUUUUCACAACAGUAAGAAGCUAUCAAUGGGAAAUUGUGGACUUUUCCCACCAGGGACUCAAUGUGCAAUAUUCAGUCAAUAUAAAACUCUUAAGAACUCCUCCUUACUGGUGACUGUCAACACUGGAUCUAAGACGUGAAUAGUCUAAUUUUCCUGAGCAAGGAGCUGCAAGUCUGGCUUUAGAAAAGCCCUUAGGAGUGUCCCACCUCCACCGCGCAAGCAGGUUUUAGGUGGGGUGGACCCUGUGGGACUUGCCCUCUGAGGGAUGGAUGGACUCAGAGCCCCUCCCCGGCUCAGCACCCGCGGCCUCCGCCCACUCAAUGGACUGCGCCUCCCAGAUCUCAGGCUGGAUGAUCUCCCUGCAGAGGACCAGAAGCUCUGUCCAAGGCCUCGGCCUGGGAUGCUGGAAGGGGUGGGAAGGGUCCGGGGUCCAGGACAGGCCCAGGGGUCUCAGCAGGUCCUCCUUGGAGGGCCUGAGCCUGGUGAGGGGGACGGUGCCCUGGGCCCCUCCAUGCCCCCUUGGUUCGCCCUGCUUUGUUAAGGGGGCCAGAGCAGCUGCUGGGCCCCACAGUCCACUUAAGGAACGGCCAUGAUUCUUGGAAAGCGCCGCCCGCCAGGCCACCUUUCACCCAGCCAGGGCCCCCGGGGCGACCUCCGGGCCAGGUGCGACAGGUCAGGCCGGAGACCUCGUCUGUGGGGGACGGGCAGUGCCCGCGGCCGCCACCCUGAGACCGGGCGCGGGCAGGACGGAACCUGGAGGGGGAACGAGGCAGGUGCUGGCUCUAGGAGUCUAAAUCCCCAAGCGCUGAGUAGACGGAAGACGUUCCCGCCACUUUACCUGCAGCUCAAAGACCUGGCGAGGGCCUGGAAACGGCGCUCGGCCAGGGCCGCUGCAGGGCCGGGCCUGCAGCCACUGCAGGUCUGGCCCUGAGUCCUGGCGCUCGGAAGGUCCCUGAGUCGGUCCCCGGGGAGAGGUGCGGGGCUCGGGGGUGGGGGCCCGGAGCCUUGGGCUGGUUUCACGCAAAUCCGUUUUGGGCGAGCCUCGGUUUCCCGGCAGCUGUGGGAAAGGGCGCGAGCGGCCAGCCACGGCGCGCGGGCCCUUCCCGCCCGCGGCUUCACAGCGGCGUCUCCUCCUGCUCCAGCGCGUGCGGCGGUGCGUGGCACGAGGGCGGCAGCGACGCCAGCUUCAGCAGGGCGGGCGGCGGCGCGCGCGGGGCCGCUGGAACGAGCGCCGGCUG